rnacentral:ncRNA from 1 species
AUAAAUACGACGAAGAGAAGUAGUAGGUAAUGCAAGGUUUCAGAGAGCUGUCGGAUGGUGUGAGACAGUACCCCAUAUUAUUGAACUGGUCUUGGAGUAGCCUGGCAGAACUUUUAGUAAGUCAGGACGGAGUUCCACGUUACGGAAAAAGAGUGCAUAUCGAAUGAUAUGAAAUAGAGUGGUACCGCGAAUUCCCCCUUCGUCUCUAUA